UAAUCUGCGAUCAUCAUGUGGUGUUCGUUUUGUUUUCACAUCUCACACAGCACCACCACACAUUCAUCUUCAUCUUCCGAUGUAUUCUGAUUUCUGAAGAAGAUAUAGAGGGUGAAAUUAUCGCAAUGGUUUUGGGAACGAUCUCUGUUACCAGACACCUCUCUAUCAUUCCCACUACAUCUUCCUUGUUUUCGUCGUCCGCUACUGCUACCGCAUGUAAUUUCGGUUUCUUCUCGGAGAAAAGAAGAAAAGUCGGGGGCUUGGGGAUUAGGUCUUCAGUGGAUGAGAGAGAGGAUGGAAUU
rnacentral:lncRNA from 1 species